UAAAAAAAAUAUACGUCUAUUGUUAAUUGGAUAAGUAUAAAGAUAAAAUAACUGCAUAGUUCAGGGCCAUUUUGAGCUAUCAGAGCCAAAAUGUGCCAGGUUGUAGUGAAUUAAACUUAUGCAGAAAGUCUGGAGAGACCAGCCAAGUUUUGUGAUAACACCUAAUAAACACGAGAAACAAGAUCCUAACAGGCUUUGGAGUUUUCUUCUGACCUGGAGAACUGAGAAGCGGUACUCCCUGUGAAGGGAAUCCUGAAGGAGCUUAGAUCAGAGAAACUGAGAAAUCCAGAAGUGAGGGGAAGUGCAAAAGAAGCACAACAGAAUCAAGAAAGAGAAAGAAAAAACAGAAUUAAGUUAUAUAUUGGGUAACAAGGAGGAAUAAAAGAGGUGAACCUUCAGAGAGAUUUUUUUUAAGAGUCCUUGCUCAGAGGGAGACUGGAGACCUCUGAGAUAUUCCUGAAGGCUAGAUAUCUAGAAUAAGUCUACUUCCAUGAAUUUUAUGGGGCUUCCAGCAUGAUCUCUUUAAGGGUUAUGUUGUAUGGCUGGAAAAGGAGGAAAGUGUUUCAGUGGGGAUUGCAGCCCACUCUGCAAGGCAUGGCAACUUGACCUGUUGUCUCUGGAUUACAGACCUUUCAAAGGCUGCCUUAUUUUGGUUUCCCAUGUCUGAAAGCAUUCAGCUUACCCUCCUGCAGAUGAUUUGUAGGUAAGGGACAGCUUGUCACUGUUGGGCCUUUGGCUGAGCAGGGAGGGAGCUCCAGCUGGACCAGGCAGUUUUGGACUUUUCCCAUGCUUGGGAAUGUCUGCAGCCACAGACUUUGAGAUGAGAAUGUUAUCUCUUAGAUGGGAAGGUAGUGACUGUACAGGGUCUCUUCUGAUGCUGUGGGACUGCGGUGUCAGAAGCAAACAGCGUGUCUAGCAGGGAGAAGGCAGGUGUUAGGAGUGUUGCUCUGUGACAUACACUGGUGGUAAGAACUAGGAACCCUCUCACUAGAGCUUAAAAUCUCAGUCUUAAAAUGUUGGUGUGUUUCAGGCAUCCUCCUGCAGUGAUAAGUGCACAUGUGAAGCAUAUCUUGUUUGUAUGCAGGCUGACACAAUGAUCUCAUCACAGUGCGUCAGCAAUGUUCUAAAUCUUCUAGGAGUCAACAGUCAUAUUUGACAUUCAUAUCUUUAUGUGUGUACAUAAAAACAGUAUUUUUUCAGCCAGAAUAUAGCUGCAUAAUAUUUUCGUGCUUUGCCUUUGAACAGAUUGCUUUUGUAUGCAACAGGUGAUGACUAAAGAGAUUAUUUCGUUUAGUUUAAUAACAUAGCUGAAAUGAACAUCAGAAGUAAAAUUUGGCAUUUCCAGCUCUGUCCAGUGAUUAACAGAGAAGCUGGUACAUUUUUGCCUCACACAGUCUGUUCUUGUUGAACAGUGAACUCAUUCUUCAUGAACGUACGAAGUCAUAAACCAAGUCUAUACAGCAGGAAGGACUACACUUGUCUGUACAGUCUGUCUCAAGGCUGGUUUUUGUGGGGUCACAGCAAAGUAGCCUAUAGCCAGCAGUAUUCUUAGGCAGGAAGCCCAUGUACCCAUUGGGUUUUCAAUGUCAAAAUGCUACAGAUAUCCAGAGAAAAUUGUCCUUCAAGUCCUUCAAAUGGCUGGCAUGGGUGGUGAUAGCUGUUUUUCAGGAUCACAGAAGCCAGUUUUCUGGCCACAAAAUUAUGUUAUUUUGCAUUGCAUGAGUAGGUAACAUUUUCUGCUUUUGUUUCAAACCUAAACACGGAUUAUAUCCUAAAGGAAAGUAUCUUAGAGGAUAAAGGAGCCUUUUUUACUAAAGUUUGUUUCCUUCUCCAAAAUCCAGUAGAUUUCAGUCUAAAAAAAGCACUAUGGACUUGGUCUAAUUUAUAGUUCCCAACAUCAUGGGGUAUUUUCCCCCCUUGUAGACUCUGAAAUGUUUCUCAGUUCCCAGGAAGCUGAUGUUAUAAAUAGGCUGGACACAGUUUUCUUUGGUUUUCUAGGUGGGAGAUGGCAAGUGUCUGAAGGGACUGAAGCUCUACCAUUUCAGUGCCUGCCUGCAGUCAUCUGAAGCACCCUACAAAUAUCCAGAAGUCCACAAGCAACAAGUCAAAAGACACUGCUGUAAGAAAACUUCAUGUGACAAAGAAAUUUCUACUUGCAGUCAGAGAGUGUCUGUGCUACUACAAGGAUCUCCUCAGUAAAAAUGGGUUCUGGAUUUUCAGCAGAAGAUCGGUAAUCACUGCUGCUCCAAACAGCACCAAACAGCCCACUAUAAGCAUUCAUGCAGCCCAGGGGGAACUUAUGGACCCCCAGUCCAUUCAAGACUGGAUGUGUGAGUUGGCUGUUCAGGACUGGAUACAGGUGGAUUUUGAGCAUGCAGACAAAAAACUCUCUGGCCAUCUUGUGCAUCCACUCUCGCAGUAAAAGUAUUUCAAAAGCGAUCUCCUGUAUUUCAGUUCAUGCCCAUUGUCUCUAACCCUGGCACUGUGCACCACUGAGAAGUGUGUCUCCAUCUCCUUCACCCUCAUCAGGUUUUUGUUCAUGCAGAUAAGAUGCUCUUGAGCUUUAUCUUCUCCACACUAAGCAGUCCCAUCUCUCCUGUCAUCUUCUCAUAUAUCAGAUUCUUCAGCUUUUUCAUUGUGCUUCUGGCAUUCCCAUGGACUUGCUUGAGCUGUGACCUUACCAAUGCUGAGUAGUGAAGGAUCCCAUUCCUCAGCCAGCUGUCAUCACUUCUUUCUGUGCAGCCCAAGACACCGUUUGCCUUUUCUGUGGAAAGAGCACACUGAAAGGGGAUAAAGUUCAAUUUGGGGCCCACCAGGACCUUCAGAUCCUUUUCUACCAAGCUGCUUUCCAGAAUGUUAGCCCCCAGGCUCCUGCUGUUCCCUUCUGGGUUCAGGAUUUUAAACUCCUUCUUGCUGAACUUCAUGAUGUUCCUGUUGCGCCAUUUCUCCAGCCAGACCAAGUCUCUCUGGAUGACAGCAUGACCUCCUGGCUGUCAUGUGUACAUCAGCAUGGUGUAAAAAGGGAGUAUGAAUCUGAAGUUAUUUUACUUCAGUAUACAUACAGGAAAACAAUCCUGUUAGUCUAAACCAAAAGCAAAAUAUAUCCUUCUCGGUCUGAAAUGGAAACAAGGCAAUUGGAUUGCUGAUGGUAAUCAUUGACUGUGACUUCUGGCUGCAUCACUAAUUCCUGAAAAAACUGGGUGAAAAAAAGAUAAUAAAUGAGUUUUGUAAGUCCUUGAUAUAUCUGGGCACAGACUCCGAGUGUCUUCAUUGCAUAUUGGUUAUGAGUCAUCUUGUCUGCUUGAGGGAAUCAACAACUUGUCCUGCACAAUAACCAUACUUCUUCCAGCCCAAUACUUCCAGUCUCUCUCCUAGGUUUCCCCUUCACCUGCCCAGAAUUUCCAGGGCCAUUAUCUUACUUCUAGGUUUCCUAUUGCUUUUUGGUUUGCUCUCUCUGCUCUGCCUUCCCAUUUCUUCCCUCCCAGCCAAGUAGAGAUACAGGCUGCCACUCCCUGUCCAACCACACAUCCAUGGGAGUGAAGUGCAUUUCUUCAUCUCUGUGCCUGGUGCAGGGGCUGACAUGGUUCUCUCCACUUUUGCAUUUCUCCAUUUCUAGGAGGUACCAGUUCACAUAGAAGCCAGCCAUGGAUGUGUUGCUGGUGUGCACCCUCCUGGAGGACUUGCAUGUGGAAUGAACCUGCUCCUCACUGGAGGACAAAUGCAGAGGCAGCUGUGGUGCCCUGAUGGUCACCAUCCUUCUGACCAGUCAGUCUGUCCCACUGCUUCCAUGCCUGGGAGAUGGUAAACAGUGGGAACGGGCAGCACAUCUGGGACUUGGAAUAGAAGAAGGGCUUAGAUCUUCUGAGAUGAGAAGCCAAAGGGGAAGUUGAAAAUGCCACAUCUGAUCUCUGAAAACACGGAACUCACAGGGCUGUAGACAUAAUCUCCUUGGGGGGAAAAGAAAAGCCUCAGGAAAAAAAAUCUGUAUUUUACUGCUGAUGUCUCAAUUUUAAAUUCUGUCUUUGGGCAUAACAUCUAACAUGUUCCUCAACAAAUUGAUUGAGUGGUAGCUAAUUUGGUAAUUUUGUGACCACAGAUGUCAUUUGUUUCCUUUCAGGGAAGUGCUCACCCUCAGUGCUGCACAUUUUGCCUUUACAUGGUCAGGAAUGCAUUUGCAGGCAUCUGUAACAAUGGUUUAAAUGACUGCCCUUUGUCUAAUUCAAGAACAACUGUUUUUGUCUAAGCAGAAUUUACACUUAUUCAUUAUGUUCCUUAAGAAAACACCACAUAUCUGAUGUAUUAGAUGUCUCACACACACAUACAAACACACAAACACAGGAAUUACCCCUCCCAAUAUAAACAAACAAGCCAAAAAAUGGAGGCUGACAAUGAAGCCAGCUUGGGCUGCAUGCUGAAUGCCUUUUGCUUGUCUGCAUGAACUUGCUGGAGGUGGAUGGUCUGCUUUAUGUGCUCUGGAGUGGCAAUGCUUCAGUGCCAUUUACAACAGAACAAUCCAGGAUAGCCGUCUUUAAAACAUAUAAACAUAUGUUUGAAACAUAGUUUUAAAUUUCAUGUUUAAAACAAUAUCAUUUGACACUUCAGAAAUAAUCUUCAGAUCUUGGACUUGCAUCAGAAUGGAGAUGCCUACAUAUACUUAUGUACAGUAAAAAUGUGUGUGGUUUUUAGUUCAGCACACAAAGUAACUCCCUGAAUUCAUUCUCUCAGCUAAAGGCUCUCAUCUGAAGGGUGUACUUGAUUCUUGUCCAGAGAAGGACAACAGCAUUCAGCAUUCCUUUUCUUCAGUGAGUGCUGUGGGAGGUAGUUCAAAGGACGAGAAAACAAGGUCUGUGUCAUAAGAGCAUAAAGUGAGAUCUGAUAUUCCUUUUUUUUUUGUUCUCUCAAGUUCUCUGAUAUUGCCAUAGUACUGGGUUUAGUCCUGCUGUACUCAGCAGUGUACACACCAGUGAUGCAGCCCACUGAUAUUUUGGAUGAUUGUGCUGCAGUCCUCCUGAGUUUAUUGUUCAGUGUACUUUUUCCCUUAAUUUUUUCUAUAUAUUAAGUGUUUCAAGAUGAUUAUCAAGAUGACUGCAAGAAAACGUGUUAGUUCUCUCUGAUACUACUUGGAAGGAAUUAACUGGAGAGUAAGGUGAAGUGGGUUGCAAAGUGGAUCACCAAAUCGAAAGUGGAGUGAGUUUGGUAUGUGAGGGGAAUAUGGAAAAUAAGUUUGAAAUAAAGCUACAGGAUGUAAGGUUCAGUGAAAAUGUGCAACAUCCUGAAGAUGUGAUGCUGUGAUGUGGCUUGAAGUGGUGUGAUGGCCACUGUAGCUGAGCUUCAUUGGCUGAAUAGCCAGUGAACAGGGGUGGAUGGGGGGAAUGGAGGCAUAGAUGUGUGUUUGGUACAGGAAUUUACACUAGGGAUUACUUUGCUGAAGGUGCAUUGGCUUGCUGAUCCUAAGACUCAAACUGCAUGUUGUACUCAUUAUGUGCUUGGGACAGAAAUGUCAUAGCAUAUUUGUACAAGCUGCAGUUUUCCUUAUUACCACAGCUGGAUUGCACAACUAUUCAGAUUCAUUCACUUUGUGUUUUCAUUAAACUUUAUCUUCACCUUUAA